rnacentral:rRNA from 1 species
CAGUCGCCACGGUAAUACAGAGGGGGCUAGCGUUGUUCGGAAUUACUGGGCGUAAAGCGCACGUAGGCGGCUUGGUAAGUUAGAGGUGAAAGCCCAGGGCUCAACCCUGGAAUUGCCUUUAAGACUGCCGAGCUAGUAGGUGAGAGAGGUAAGUGGAAUUCCGAGUGUAGAGGUGAAAUUCGUAGAUAUUCGGAAGAACACCAGUGGCGAAGGCGGCUUACUGGCUCAUUCUAGACGCUGAGGUGCGAAAGCGUGGGGAGCAAACAGGAUUAGAUACCCCGGUAGUCCCUGUCUCUUAUAC